UUCCUUGUCAAUACUUUAUUACUUCAGGCACAUAUAGCAGAGGAUGAACACUGAGGCAAUGUACACAUCUGAACACUUACAUUUAACCAUACGCUAUAAAAAUGUAACACUUAUCUUACUGUUAAAAUGUAAGAGUUGAGCAACAGUGGGGUUUUAAUGGAUAUGAGAUAGAGACACGUGGAUGAUGUAUGUUAUGGACACAUUACCAGGUUAAAGGUCACUGUAAAAUGACUUACAACAAUAGCUUGUGACACACAGCUUAAUAAGGGUUUGUUGGCAACAGUGAAGUGGACGUUCACUCUAGAUUUAAAAACAAAACAUAGUGUGCGAAGCUGUCCUCAAGGCAAAGGGGUGGCGGGGGGGGGGCUACUUUGAAGAAUCUAAAAUCUAAAAUAUAUUUUAAAUUGUUUAACACUUUUUGUUGGUUACUACAUGAUUCCAUAUGUGUUAUUUCAUAGUUUUGAUGUCUUCACUAUUAUUCCACAAUGUAGAAAAUAGUACAAAAAAUAAAAAUAAAGACCUACUCUUUCAAGAGUUUUUGUGUCCAAACUUUUGUCUGGUACUGUAUAUUAUUGACACAAUACCGGGUUAAAGGUCACUGUAAAAUGACGUACAACAAUAGCUUGUGACACACAGCUUAAUAAGGGUUUGUUGGCAACAGUGAAGCGGACAUUCACUCUAGAUAGAAAAUAGCAUUGAUAGCCUACAAUAGAUUAACAUAGACAUUCACUCUAGAUAGAAAAUAGCAUUGAUAGCCUACAAUAGAUUAACAUAGACAUUCACUCUAGAUAGAAAAUAGCAUUGAUAGCCUACAAUAGAUUAACAUAGACAUUCACUCUAGAUAGAAAAUAGCAUUGAUAGCCUACAAUAGAUUAACAUAGACGUUCACUCUAGAUAGAAAAUAGCAUUGAUAGCCUACAAUAGAUUAACAUAGACAUUCACUCUAGAUAGAAAAUAGCAUUGAUAGCCUACAAUAGAUUAACAUAGACAUUCAUAAGUGCAUCUGUUACUUUAAAGAAGAGACAUUUUAGAUACAGUCCCAAAGCUUUUUGCCUUCUUGCCUGUGACAGACUACACCGAAUAACUGUCACAAGUCUCAGGAAACGCCUCUGUUAAGAGCACACCGGAGGGGUCUAUUUUUAGAAUAGGCUUAAAUAUUUUACUACAGGGACGUUUUUUUCUCUUUUACAUAAUCUUCACAGCGUACAUAAACUACCUUCUUUACUUUUCCUUUCAACAGCGGAAGCACCUAUGACUUUUUCUACACUGUAUCCAGGUCAUUGAUACGGCAGCCAUUUUGA
ensembl:lncRNA